AUCUUUGGUUAUCUAGCUGUAUGAGUGUUUAUCUGCCUUCAUAAAGCUAGAUAACCGAAAGU
rnacentral:pre_miRNA from 8 species